rnacentral:lncRNA from 1 species
GGGGAGCUUGAAGUUCGGCGGGGUUGGUUCCUGCAUAAUCCUUUGAGAGAAAGGAGGGUCAGUACAAAUAUUCUCACCGUAAGCAGGGGGAGCAUGACGGAGCUCUUCGAUCUGCUGGUUCAUCUCUUGGAACCUUUGAUCCAGGAGAUCCUCUCGAUCGUGAAUCUUGAGGGUCUUCUAGCAGAAUGGAGGUAGGAACCCUCCGGGGGUGGAAUCAUGAUCAGACAGAGGGCUCUCCACCCUCUGCUUUCCCUUUUCGGGGGAUAUAGGGUGACUGACCCAAGUGCACCACCCGAUCGUUAGAUUCUGAAACUUUGAUGAUGCUCUUUCUAGCUGCACAGAUGCCUGUGACUACUGCUGGUGCUGCUAUUGCAUGGCCUGCAUCACUUCGGUGAGGCCCCUGACCUGCUGAACUAGUAGGUUGAACUGCUCCAUGCCAACUGUCGUUGUCGGAGGAGUCUGAAAAAUUGGAGAUGAGGUCGGAGCUGGCGUAUCUUACUAAGAUCUGGCCAUGGAGGCCAUAGAUCGCCUGGUGGAUGCCUUUCGGGGAGGCAUCAGGUUGGGAUCUGGUUGGAGAAGAAGAAGAUGUCGAAGAAGAUGACCGGAGACAGUCCCGUUGAGUACUCCUUUAAGAACAAGGGUCCUACGAAGAUGCAGGCCCCUCCUUCUAGUGCCAAUUCUGUUGGUGCAGAAUUCCAUCGAUCUCGAAGAAGCUGGAGUCGAGGGGAUCACGGUUGCCAUCGGGACC